rnacentral:rRNA from 1 species
AUUGAACGCUGGCGGCAGGCUUAACACAUGCAAGUCGAGCGGGGGAGAUUGCUUCGGUAAUUGACCUAGCGGCGGACGGGUGAGUAAUACUUAGGAAUCUGCCUAUUAAUGGGAGACAACCUCUCGAAAGGGAUGCUAAUACCGCAUACGUCCUACGGGGGAAAGAAGGGGAUCACUUGUGACCUUGCGUUAAUAGAUGAGCCUAAGUCGGAUUAGCUAGUUGGUGGGGUAAAGGCCUACCAAGGCGACGAUCUGAAGCGGGUCUGAGAGGAUGAUCCGCCACACGGGGACUGAGACACGGCCCCGACUCCUACGGGAGGCAGCAGUGGGGAAUAUUGGACAAUGGGGGGAACCCUGAUCCAGCCAUGCCGCGUGUGUGAAGAAGGCCUUAUGGUUGUAAAGCACUUUAAGCGAGGAGGAGGCUCUUUUGGUUAAUACCCAAGAUGAGUGGACGUUACUCGCAGAAUAAGCACCGGCUAACUCUGUGCCAGCCGCCGCCGUAACAC